rnacentral:tRNA from 1 species
UGGGCUCGUAGAUCAGGGGUAGAUCGCUGCGUUCGCAACGCAGAGGCCGCGGGUUCAAAUCCCGCCGGGUCCAU